ACUUCUGUAUUUUUGUUAUGUAAUUACAUAUAUCAUUUUCAGAAAUUACAAUAAAUUAAUGACACAUCAAGUUAUGGGAUGCCCAUCACUUUUUCUUUGUUUUUGUUUUAAUAAAUAGCAUCGCUUUCUUGCUCAUCAUUCAUUGUUUCUCUCUUCCAAUUUGCCCACACAUACACACACACACAGAAACAAGGGUUUUGGUUUUCUUUCUGCACUUGAAGCUCAUCAAACUCUCUCUUUUAAUAUGUAGAUGAGAAUUAAUCCAUGUCAUGCUUUUCCACAGCUUUCUUGAACUUCUUUUAUGAUGAAUACUAAUUUCAAAGAAUUGACGAAGUUCAAGAAACCUGUGGGAAGAUAUGCCAAAGUCUGGAUUAUUUUAUUUAAACUCAAUCACACACAAUUCUCUUCAGUUUAUGACACAAAUGGCCCUAAUUUAUUGUGGAAAUGUAGAAUUACACACCAUUGAAUCCGACCAACCAUCUUCAUGAGAGAAUGUACCAUUGCAGACAUCAACUCGUACACUGUCGAAGAACUAACUGUAGAGGUAUGUAAAAUUACAUUUUACAUAGUGUUUCAUUAGUGAAAAUGGCCUUUUUUCAAUAUAAUUACUCUCAUUCUUUGAGCUUCUGACAUGUCCGACUAAGGACAUCAUUUUUAUGUUGGCUAUUAGGUCUCAAUUUUGGAUUUUAAGGUUUAAAAAAAGCUACUUAAUUUUGACAUAAAGUAUGUAAUAUUGCAUGUGUUUAUCUAGUGGUUCAAUUCUUCUAAAGGAUUUGCAUAAUAAAUCCCAAGUAUGAUCUGCUUGCUGCUGCUCAUUAUAAAUUAAUCUCGUGAUUAUAUAUCAAAAUUCAGUUCGUAAGUACUAAACCUAGCUAUAUAUGUAUAUCAGUUUUAUAACUUCUGCUAUUCAUAUCUGUACCUUCACUCUUCUUCAUCAUCAUCUAGCUAGUUUAUGUCAAUUAAUAUCGAGGGAUGGCAAUUUAUGCUGUAUAUAUGCAUAUAUCCAUGUGCCUGUAGGUGGAUACUAUAUAUUACUACUUGUUAGGGUUAAUUGUCAAAUAAAUUCACCACUUAAUUACACUUGAUUUUAUAAUUGGUAAAACAAUUAACCAAAUUAAUAGUAGCUUUAUGCUUUAAUUUGUAGCAAAACAAGCAUACCCUAACUUUCAGACUUCUCAAAACAUAUCGCAGCAUGAAUGAUUUCAAGAUCCAACUGUAUUUUUCUACAAAAUUUUUGAUAUUUCCAGAAAACUUUUGGUGUCUUGUAUUAUCAUGCAAUAGAAUCACUAAAUUAUAAGCUAUAGGCUAAUUUAUCAUUGCAAAGAUUUACAAAGAUGUGAGUAAUGAUAUUUUGUUUGCAAUAACCUAUCUUGGGUAAAUUUGGUAAAGGAGAUCCAUUUUUUUAGAGUGUCUUUUUUUAAAUUAAUUUAAGCAGACGUAACUUGAAAGAACUAUAGCAAUUCUUAUUCAAUCAGCUAGCUAACUAGAAUAUUGAAGAAAAUAGAGAGAGAGACCGACAGGUACGAUAUGUUGAUUUUCCAAGUCUACUCCACCCUCUCCUUUUUUAUGAUACAUUAUGUGUCUGCCGUUAUAAAAAUGACUCAUUUUAAAAAAAAUAGAAAUAUAUUUAUUUUUACUUUAUUCUCUCUUUUAUUUUAAAAAAAAUAAAAAUACAUUUAUCUUUACUUUAUUCUCUCUUUAAUUAGUGUAUAAUGGUGAUAUAAUGAAUUAGGAGAAUGAUUGAGCACACGUGUGUUUUAAUGGAUGGCAUGGUAUGAAUAGUUAGUGGGGCCAGGGCCCCUCUAUCUGUACACGAGUGGAUAAAGAAUGUCAUUUCAGGGCAGGAAUUUGGUUUGUAUCACAAAAAUGGGUAUAAUUGUUUGGUUUGUUAUUCAAGAGAGAGAAUUGAUGAUGAUAUCAUAUAUA